AUGGCAGGGAGGGAAAGGGACAGGGAGGAGUGAGGCUGCCAAAAAGGGGGGUUAGGGUUGAUUUUUUCUCCUCAAAUCAAGGGUUGGUGUCGGUGAUUGAGAGAUUGAGAGGGAUGGGAGAGAGACAGAAACACACCCAUUUGGCCUUCAUUUCCCUUUCUCAAACCCUAGCAGCAACAACACCAACUCUAGCCGAUCUCUGCAAUAGCGUCGGCUCCUGCUUCUGAAAACCAAAACCGCACAAACCUGGCCUCCAUUUCUGUAACUGGAGCUUCGUCUCUCUGAAUCUAACUCUGAAUAUCAACAAGGUCUCUCUCUCGCGUAUAAUUUUGAAUUUUUGGAAUUUAUCUUGGAAUUUUGUCUUUGAUUCUCCUUUCUGUUUGUGCUUUUACAUUUUUGCAAGUCGGCGAGAAGCCGAGCUUAGCUCUUUCUAUAGCUCCGUUCUCUCCCAUGGCCAGAAUUUACUGACAUUUGAUAAAUGUUAAGCGAAGUUCUUCAAUGAAUCUCUCAAGGUGCUCGAAGCUGAUAUUCAGUUCGCCAACACUCUAUGUCCAUGAAUUUUACGGACUUCCUGUGUAAUCCUUGCCUCAGAAAGCAAUCUCGACGUCGUUGCUGGUGGAGGAACGCCGUCAUAUGAGCCCCGGAGCACGCUGCUGCUGGUAAUUUUACUUUUUUGAUUUUAUAUGAAUUUGUUGUUUGUUUGAUGAGAAAACAUGGAAAACUAGAGAAAUUUUUUGAAUUUAAGGUUGCUAUAACACAAAUCUCACUAUGAUUUGUGAUGGAUUUUGGGUAUCUUUCCUUUCUUAUGCUUUUUAUACUACUUGCAUCAACCCCUUUUCGUUUUUUGUCUUAUCUUCCAACUUAUGCCCUCAAUGAUAUUAGAUAAGGCGUUUUUAAAUUUAUUGCUAAUAUUUUGAACUUUGUGUUGUACUAAUGCCAUAAGGCAUUUUGAUUUUUGACAUUUUGUUACGUUGGUUGGAGAGUUGGAGACUUUUGCUCUCUUUGCAUUUUACUGUGCUGGUUGGAGACUUGCGAACUAUUGAUUUUCAAUGCUAUUGCCCUUGGUAUUCCUUACAAUUAUUGAUUUUGAGUGCUAUUGCUUCCUUUAUUCUUUAGAAUCGAGUAGUGGAAUUUUGAAUGAGACAGGAUUGUUUGUAUGACUUUGUGCUUUCCCAUAUGGGUUUAAUUUUGCACAGCUUGAAAUGUUGACAUUGUUUUUGUUCAUGUAACUUUGGUUCAUUUUCGUCGUGGGAUGAGAUUGGGAUCUAUUUCUUUGUUUCAGUUUUUGCAUAUCAAAAUUUCGAGAGCUAUUUGAUAAGAAUCAAGCCUGUAUAGAGUCAGGUUUUAUAACUCACCAUUUCCAAUAGCUAUUUGGUAAUAGGACGAGUAAUUAAAGAGUGAGUUCAUAUAUAUAAAAUCCUGUUUUAGCUUACUUUUUCCCUUAUGAAUAUUUCUUCAUCUGAUAGGCUGAUGCUUGGGCUACUGAGAAUUUUUCCUCGGUACCAAAAUGCUCAUCUGGCCAAAUUAUAGGACAGGCGUGCAGUUCUUAUUUAUUUAAUUUUUUCUUUUUUCUCUCUUUUUGGUACUUUUCAUGUGUAUUCACUUGGGAAAAAUACUUUAGUCUUAAUGAUAUUAAUGUUGCAUGAUCUAUUUUCUUCUGGAGCCAUAAAAUCUGCAAGAGGUUUCCAAGUAUACAAUGAGGUUGCUGGCCUUUCAGGGCUUAACUUCGCUUACACAGAUAACACUGCAGUAUACCAUACAAAGGUUUUUUUAUUCCCUUUUUCCCCCUUUUUUGGGAUAUUAGUUACAAAAUCUGUUUGGAGCAUAAGUGUGAAACUAACAGGAGGGGUUAGUAAGUUAAUUAGUUAAUAUGAUUCUCAAUGGAUAUGAGUUAGAGAACUCAUUGCAAUUUGCAGAGAUUUCCUAAAGACAAAAAGAAAACAAUGUUUGUUUUGAGUACUUCUCGCGUCAUUGAGGCACAAAUGUUGUACCUGCAUUAAUUAAUUUUCUUUAUAUCGAAAUUGAAUAAAUCUAAUUUUCCUCGAUAUCCAAAUGUAUUAAAGUAAUUGUGAUUGAAGUUUGUUUAUGUCUGCUUUCCAAGAUUCAUUUUUUGGUUACCAGAUAUCUCACUCUGUUUACAAGUGCUUUUUUGUUAACUAAAAAAAGGCUUUUUAUUCUUCGGCUUACAUGACUUCCUCACAAUACCAAAGUACAAGAGAAACAAAGAUUGGAGGGGCUGUGCCGCCGUUCAGUUACUCUUGGGCACUUGAGGAGGUGUGAUCAUAUGCCUCACUUCGGGAAUUGAUAUUAGGAGGUGUUAAAUGGACCGUUGGAAUUGAGUUUCGAGUCUCUGAGGGACAUAAUGAGAUGGGUUAUUGAUGAAAGGAUUUGGAGGAGAAGGUGGACAAGAAACCAGUGCAUUGGAUGCACAAUAUCAGUGAUGAACACUUUUCCUUAUCUUUGUUUAGAAAAAAUUUGAAAGAGCCACUGGUUUUGAACGUGCUUAAAUGCAAGAUUAUUUGCAAAAUUUUGUUUAAAUUUUUUAAUGUUUAGAUUUUUAUUCCAUAAAAAUUGUGAGAGGAAAUAUAUAAUGAUAGACAAAAAACUAUGUUAAACAAGUUUGGAUGGUUUAAAUUAUAGAAUUAUUUUGGUUGAUGGUA